AGAGUUUGAUCCUGGCUCAGGACGAACGCUGGCGGCGUGCUUAACACAUGCAAGUCGAACGGUGAACCCUUCGGGGGAUCAGUGGCGAACGGGUGAGUAACACGUGAGCAACCUGCCCUUGGCUCUGGGACAACCACUGGAAACGGUGGCUAAUACCGGAUACGACCCAUGCAGGCAUCUGUUGUGGGUGGAAAGAUUUUUCGGCCAGGGAUGGGCUCGCGGCCUAUCAGCUUGUUGGUGGGGUGAUGGCCUACCAAGGCGACGACGGGUAGCCGGCCUGAGAGGGCGACCGGCCACACUGGGACUGAGACACGGCCCAGACUCCUACGGGAGGCAGCAGUGGGGAAUAUUGCACAAUGGGCGAAAGCCUGAUGCAGCGACGCCGCGUGAGGGAUGACGGUCUUCGGGUUGUAAACCUCUUUCAGCAGGGAAGAAGCGAAAGUGACGGUACCUGCAGAAGAAGCACCGGCUAACUACGUG
rnacentral:rRNA from 1 species